rnacentral:rRNA from 1 species
UAGCCGUAAACGAUACUCGCUAGGUGUCGGCCACGGUGCGACCGUUGUCGGUGCCGUAGGGAAGCCGUGAAGCGAGCCACCUGGGAAGUACGGCCGCAAGGCUGAAACUUAAGGGAAUUGGCGGGGGAGCACCACAACGGGUGGAGCUUGCGGUUUAAUUGGAUUCAACGCCGGAAAUCUUACCGGGACCGACAGCAACAUGAAGGCCAGGCUGAAGACUUUGCCGGAUUAGCUGAGAGGUGGUGCAUGGCGUAGUCGUGU